rnacentral:rRNA from 1 species
AUUGAACGCUGGCGGCAGGCCUAACACAUGCAAGUCGAGCGAGCGGCGGACGGGUGAGUAAUGUAUGGGGACUGCCCGAUAGAGGGGGAUAACUACUGGAAACGGUGGCUAAUACCGCAUACUAUCGGAUAACCCAUAUGGGAUUAGCUAGUAGGUGGGGUAAAGGCUCACCUGGGCGACGAUCUCUAGCUGGUCUGAGAGGAUGAUCAGCCACACUGGGACUGAGACACGGCCCAGACUCCGACGGAGGCAGCAGUGGGGAAUAUUGCGCAAUGGGCGCAAGCCUGAUGCAGCCAUGCCGCGUGAAUGAAGAAGGCGUUAGGGUUGUAAAGUACUUUCAGCAGGGAGGCGUUACCUACAGAAGAAGCACCGGCUAACUCCGUGCCAGCCGCCGCGGUAAUAC